CCUACGGGAGGCAGCAGUGGGGAAUAUUGCGCAAUGGGCGAAAGCCUGACGCAGCGACGCCGCGUGAGGGAUGAAGGUCCUCGGAUCGUUAACCUCUGUCAGCAGGGAAGAACGGUCACUGUGCUAAUCCACAGUGAAUUGACGGUACCUGCAAAGGAAGCACCGGCUAACUCCGUGCCAGCAGCCGCGGUAAUACGGAGGGUGCGAGCGUUAAUCGGAAUUACUGGGCGUAAAGGGCGCGUAGGCGGUAUGUCAAGUCAAGGGUGAAAUCCCCGCGCUCAACGUGGGAACUGCCUUUGAAACUGGCAGACUGGAGUGUGUGAGAGGAUAGUGGAAUUCGAGGUGUAGGAGUGAAAUCCGUAGAUAUCUGGAGGAACACCAGUGGCGAAGGCGACUAUCUGGCAUAUAACUGACGCUGAGGAGCGAAAGCGUGGGUAGCAAACAGGAUUAGAUACCCCAGUAGUC
rnacentral:rRNA from 1 species